rnacentral:rRNA from 1 species
UACAGAGGGGGCAAGCGUUGUUCGGAAUUACUGGGCGUAAAGGGCGCGUAGGCGGCCUUCUAAGUCGAACGUGAAAUCCCUGGGCUCAACCCAGGAACUGCGUCCGAUACUGGGAGGCUUGAAUCCGGGAGAGGGAUGCAGAAUUCCAGGUGUAGCGGUGAAAUGCGCAGAUAUCAGGAGGAACACCGGUGGCGAAGGCGGGUCUCUGGGCAGUAACUGACGCUGAGGAGCGAAAGCGUGGGGAGCGAACAGG